rfam:Cicer arietinum chromosome Ca6, whole genome shotgun sequence.
GCCUCCGAGGAUGAUCAAACCUAUAACUUUCGUUCUUCUGAGUUGCCCGUGCAGAAAUUAUGUGGAGACCUGAACUGAAGAGGC